CACUCUGUGCCAGAAUGUCACCCUGUUUUGAAUUUUUUAUCUGGUAAAUUGUUUAUUUCUGUUUCAUUAUUUAUUUUUUCAGGGGUGUUCUCUUGUUCUUUCAAUUGUGAGUAGUUCCUCUUUCUUUUCAUUUUACUUAACUUUCUCUGUCUAUGAAUUUAGGUAAACUGUUACCUAUUGUGGUCUUAAAGAGGUGUUCUCAUGUGGGAGCCUCCCUAUGCAGAGCGCGUGUGCCCAGUGCCUUUGGUGGGAAGGCUGGAAGUUAUGUGGAUGCCAAUCAUGUCUUUCCUCAGGUUGUGCUGGCUGCUGUCACCUUGGUAGGGAGUGUGGCUGGUGAUGGAGGAACUAGAGCCUGUGCACAGUUUGAGCCUUGAGUUUGACUUCUGGAUCCAUGGCUUGAGUGGCUUCAUUUGGGACCUAUCCAUGCUUUUGGCUCCAAGAGUACAUCUAAGCGGCAGAAGCAGGAUCAAGGAAAGCAAACAUCAGUCGUCCCGAGAACAAUUCAGAAUCCAACUAGAGGACCUUAAGGUUGAAUGACCCACCCAUCAAAGAUAUUCCUGUCUGGAAGUCUUGGCUCAGAUCUCUAAUGGAGGUGGGAGGCAUGCCCAGCCCUGGUUCAUCUCUCAAGGAGUCUUCAGUGCCUAAUCUGGGAUCUAUGUGUCAGAGAUGUGAACAGACAGCAAAAUGGACUCUACUAUGUGUCAAAGCUUGACGGAUGAAGACAAGUACAGGAGAAGUUCAUUCACUCUUAAAUAACUGCCCUUCUUGUUGGAAUAAUGGGCCCUCCUGCAGGAGAUGGGAAUUUAGUUCUCAGUUAAGACAGCAGAAAUUCCCUUUCAGGAGAUGUCAGGUAGAGUGGUGAGAUGGAAGAUUCCACAACCCAUCAGCUUUCAAAGGGAUUCUGGAGAGCUCUCUUGGCAUUAUGGAUGGACAAGAACCAGGAUGAAGUUGGUAAGAGUUCUGGAGACAUCCCUAUUCAUUUCAUGAGGUCGAGAACAGGAUGGCAUUGGUACAUGGGAUUUCUGCUAAUGAUUUUCUUUUCUCCCCAUCACUAUCCCUGUCCCCCCACCCUGUGCCUCUCAGGUUUGAAAAAUAAUGUAGCCGUCUUAGAUGAAGAAAUUAGUUAUCCCAAUAUAAGCUUCUGUAUGGGAGGGCUUACCUAGAACCUUUAAAGGUAAAUUUCUAAGAGAGGAUGGAAAAAUAUAGUGGAAGAGUUAUGAUUGAAAUAAGAAACCGUCAAAGGAAAAAGAAACUGUCAAAGUUUAAUUAAAAGAGUUGACACCAGUGGCUGGUCUUAAUCUACAAACAAGUAGGCAACUAUACAACGUUUUUCCCUACUAGGUCAACUUCCACUUUAAUACUGAGAGGACAGAACAACCCUACUAUUAAUACAUAAUUAAUAUUCAACUGCUUUGGUUCAACAAAGGGAAGAACUAAAGAGGAACCAAAGUUAUGGAAAAACUCAAACCACCAUGCCAGAGUCUCUUAGAACCCAAACUAAUUCUCAAAAAAUGCUUAGUCUGAAAAAACUUCACCCAGUUCAACCAUGAGCUAAUUAAUGUACCAAAUAUUAACCUGCUAUACUAUACACCAGCCAUUAUUCUAGAUGCUAGAGGCAGAGGAGUAAACAAAACAGAAAAGAUCUGGCUCUCUUGUAGUUUACAUUCUUCUGGGGGAGAUAAACAAAAAACCAGUAAACUAACUACUUUCAGAUGUUAUAAGAACUAAAAAGAAACUAAAAUAGGCUGAUGAGAUGAAGAAUGCCCAGAGAGGCCAGGAUAGACGGGGGUGGCCCUUCUGAGGAUGUGACAUUUGAGCUAAGGCCUGCCAUGGAGAGGAGGAAGAAAAGUGCUUCAGUCAGAGGGCCGGCAGGUGCAAAGGCCCUGAGGUGGAAAUGAGCUUCAAGUUAAAAAACCAAGGCUUUUAUGUGCGUGGGGCACAGUGAGCAUGGAGGAGAACCCUACGAAACGUAGCCUGAGUGACCAGCAGGGGCCAGGUCAUAAAGAGCCUUGUAGGCCAGAAGGCGUUCAGAUUUUAUCCAAGGCACAAUGAGAGACAUUUGGCUGGAUUUAUGAGUAAUGUGAACUUGAGAGAAUUUUUUAUUUUGACUUUAGCACUAGAAAUGAGCUAUAUUUUCCUUGACUGUGUGGUAUAGUUCUAUGUCACCAACUUGUGAUAAGUUUUACCUUCCAAGUUUGGAUUAAAGGUGCAGUUACUAUCCACAUAUACGUUACAGGGAUGGGACCCAUUAUGCAGAUAGUAUACUAUGCAAAUACUAUAGCAUUUUGUGUACUAACUUAAAUUCCAUCUUCAUUUCAUUGUUUUACUUCCAGUUGUCUUUUGCCUGAAUUUCUUUACCUCCUGUUAAAGUACUGAAUGUAUGCAUUUGUCAGUUGCCUCAAGUCCUUUCAUCAGUGGGUUUUAAAUAAACACAUUUAAAUGCAGGCCUGGCAAGAGAGAAUCUCUCAUAUUCUUGAGUCUCCUUCUAGAUGUUGACAAUCCGAAACUAAAAUAGCCAGGUAACCCUGAGGAUUCAGUGACUUUAUCUUCAUAUGAAGGUGACAAUUUCACACUUUCCCAGUGGACAUUUUAAAAGACCACAGAAUUAGAAGUAAAAUUCUUGUAACACAGUAAACAUUAAAAAAUAAAGUUUCAUGGUGAAAUUUCUUGAGCUUCUGUCAUAGUCAGGGGAGAGCCUCAUACACUCUGUAAGGUUUUUUAUUUAGGCAUGACCAGGUUUAACUUUUUUCUGUGCCAUCGUGUUCACAGACAAUCCUGUAGGACUCAUUUCCAUGGCUUCCUGCAGAGAAUACUUAGAAUCACUAGCUCUGAAAUGCCAAAUGUCUGUCAGGCAAAACACCUUUUUAGAUUUUGUGAGAUAUGUAAUUAUAUUCCGUAUGACAUGCUCCAUUGUGUGUUUGAAAAGAGACAAGUAUUUACUACACUCGACAGGUGGGUCAGACUACCUCACAAAGAAAGCUGAAUCUGCCAGGUCACCAGGCAGAGUUUCCAAGGGUGGCAAGUCCCAUUUGCUCCUUCCUUUUCUUCCCACUCUAGCUUACCCUUUAGAAAAAUACAAAAAAGUACAAGUUACCCCAAGGACACUGGGCAAAUAUUUAACAGCUCGAUGGAGCUGUCUGAUCCUGAUUUAAAAAGAAAAAAAAAAAAAAAAAGAUGCUAAAUAGAGUCCCUCUUUUUUUUUUUUUUUUUUUUUUGUGGUACGCGGGCCUCUCACUGUUGUGGCCUCUCCCGUUGCGGAGCACAGGCCCCGAACGCGCAGGCUCAGCGGCCAUGGCUCACGGGCCCAGCCGCUCCGCGGCAUGUGGGAUCCUCCCGGACCGGGGCACGAACCCGUGUCCCCUGCAUCGGCAGGUGGACUCUCAACCACUGCGCCACCAGAGAAGCCCGAGUCCCUCUUUUUAAAUUAUUUUAUUUCGCUUAUUUUUGGCUGUGUUGGGUCUUUGUUGCUGUGUGCGGGCUUCCUCUAGUUGCGGCGAGCGGGGGCUACUCUUCGUUGCAGUGCGCGGGCUUCUCAUUGCAGAGCGGCUUCUCUUGUUGCGGAGCACAGGCUCUAGGCGUGCGGGCUUCAGUAGUUGUGGCACGUGGGCUCAGUAGUUGUGGCUCGCGGGCUCUAGAGCACAGGCUCAGUAGUUGUGGAGAAUGGGCUUGGUUGCUCCGUGGCAUGUGGGAUCUUCCUGGACCAGGGCUUGAACCCAUGUCCCCUGUGUUGGCAGGCGUUAACCACUGCGCCACCAGGGAAGUCCCUUGAGUCCCUCUUAUAAAACAGUGUUAACAUUUCAAGAAAUCUAAAAUGUUUCACAGGGCACAGUGCCUUAGAGGGGAUGCCAAGUCUCAAAACCACCAGACUCAGCCUUGUCUUCAGUAACUAAGGAAGGAAACUCUCCUUACCACUCUCCCUGUUGGCUGUGGAUCUCAGCUUUGGCAUCCCAGCCUGGAACAGUCCUCCCAAACCGGGUGGUCCACCCCCUCCAAAACUCCCACCGCCGCCUCCGCCACCACCACCAGCUCCUUUAGGUUCUGCAGAAGGAAGAAAACACAGCCUUUACACAUGUAUGAAGACACCACCAGAGAACUUCACCAGUCCUCGCCCAAGUAAACAAUCACGAUACAACAGAGAGCUGGCAGAACCUAAGCCCAUGGUGAACACCUGGAAUUUCAUUAAAGGGUAGGACUUUCAGGAUUCACCCUAUCCCCCAUCAGAAAAGCAGAAGGUUCUUUCUACUCCAGGGCAGUCGCAAGCCCAGUGGUAGAAGAAUCAGUAAUAGAUAAUGACUUUCCCCCACUUGGCUGGCUGCCACAUGAGUUAAUAUCUAUUGUGUAUCAUAGGAUUUGGUAAAUAAAAGUAUCUUCAAAGAAAGAAAGUCUUAAGGGAGGAGGAGAUGCAAUAAAAGGUGAGAAGAAAGGAAACAGUAAAAAUAAAGGAGAAGAAAAUAAAAUAUCCCAUAAUUUUGCUUCAUUGAAAUACCAACUUUUUUGGUGUAUUUUUCCCUGCCAGGGUUUUUUUUUUUUUUUUUUUUUUUUCAUUUUACAUAUUUUUUCUCACGACCAAAUUCACUACAUAGUUUUUAGCUUGCUUUUUUCAGUCAAUACUUUAUUGUUAGCAUUUCCCAUGUCACUAAAUGUGUUUUGAAAACAUGAGUUUAAAGGAUUGCAUUGUGUUUUAGAACACUGAAUGUACUGUAAUUUAUUUAUCCAUCUACCUAUUUGAUGGCCUUCCAGGUUGAUUUCAAUUUUUUAAUAUCAUAAAACCCAACAGUAGACUUUAAUAUUUUAAAAAUUCUUUGCAACUUGAGACGAUGCAAAGAUUUUAUUUUGCAUUUGUUGCCAAAAAACUGUGAAAGAUUUCAAAAUAGGCAAACAAGAAAACAAGAAAAGAAAGGAAGAAGAAGAAAGAAAAAGAUUACUAAGUAUCCAGUCUAGCCUUCUGGGUUAUUUCCCAUUGCCUUUGAGCUAGUCUGCAACUCUAUUAAAUUGUACAAAACUGAUAAUAAUGCAAAUGAUAUUUGUCCAUAGAAAUGCAUAUUGGUUGUGUUCAGUGUAAUGCAAUUGAUUGACCCGUUUUGCACCUAUUUAUAAAUUCAUUUCAACACUCACCUGCCUACAUAUGUGUGGUACUUUGAAUUCUCCUUUGAAUUGAUAACAUUAUAUUCGUUCCCUCAUUAAUUAAUGAGCUAAAUAAAAUCUUUGAUAUAUGUUUAUUUUAUAUCUGUAUUAGAGCCAUGAUUAUACCCUCUUUAAAAAAUUGUCUCUUAACAAUUUAUGUAUGUAUAUAUGUUUUAUGAGGUUAAGGUACUGUUUAAAGUUCUACCCCUGGAAAACCUUGUUGAGUCUUUGGUAAGUAUUACAUGAGAUCUACAAAUUAAUCUGGGAGAAGUUGAGUCUUUGGUAAGUAUUACAUGAGAUCUACAAAUUAAUCUGGGAGAACUGACACUUUCUUGAUAUUUAGACUUUAUGGAAACAUGGUAUAUUUUCCCAUCUCUUCUGAUUUAUUCACUAAAGUUUUGUAAUUUUCAUGAUAUGGGUCACCCAUAGUUCUUUUAGGGUCACUUCAAAUACAUUUUUGUUUGUUGAAAUUAUGAAAGGAAUGUUUUUCCUACUAUAUUUUGGAUUUGGUUAUUAUUGGCAUCAGGAAAUUUCAUUUGAUAUCUAAUAAAUCACUUUCCUGCAUUUUUCAGAAUUAAAAUUUAUUUUUUACCUUGGAUUUUCUAGUAGACAAAUGCUCUGCAAAUAAUAAAGGUGUAUGCCUUCUUUUCUAAGAGUUGUGUAUCUUAUUUCUGUUUUAUAUAAGAAAUUACUUUGAUGACUGAGCUUCCAUAACAGUGUAAGUUAUUAAUGUUUUAUUAAUUUAAAGACUUUUAAAAUAAUUAUAAAGAAUAUACAUUUAUAUAUUUAUCUUAAAAAUAAAUUAUUAACGUUAUUAGUAUUUUAAAAAUAAAGGAAAUCAUAUUUUGAUUUUAAUGAGAAUGCCUCUAAUGUUUCAAAGUUACAUUUUUAAAAAAAUUUAUUUAUUUAUUUUUGGCUGCAUUGGGUCUUUGUUGCUGCGCACAGGCUUUCUCUAGUUGUGGCGAGCGGGGGCUACUCUUCGUUGCGGUGCGCGGGCUUCUCAUUGGGGUGGCUUCUCUUGUUGCGGAGCACGGGCUCUAGGCACGCGGGCUCUAGAGCACAGGCUCAGUAGUUGUGGCACACGGGCUUAGUUGUUCGGCGGCAUGUGGGGUCUUCCUGGAUCAGGGCUCGAACUCGUGUCUCCUGCAUUGGCAGGCGGAUUCUUAACCACUGCACCACCAGGGAAGCCCCCAAGUUACAUACUGACUGUUGGUUUGAAAUAACUUUUUUUUCUUUCUAAGUAUUCGUGGUUAGCAAGGAUCCUUCCACUCUGGGUUUUUGAGACUCUCUUAUGGCAUGGAAUUUUAUCAAAUGCCUAUCCAGGAUCUACUGAGAUCAUUAUAUGGUUUUCCUUAUUUGAUAUGAUGGAUAUAUAGACUUUCUAACAUUAAAAAUGAGACAAACUCUGGAUUUGGUGAAUUAUUUUUUUAAUAUACUAUUGAAUUAGAGUUUUUGGAUUUUUAGUUAGUAUCCUCUCGUCUGCGAUCAUAAGUGGUCUAUAGUAGGGUUUCUUAGCCUUGGAACUACGGACAUUUUGGGUCAGAUAAUUCUUUGUUGUGGGUGACCAUCUUGUUCCCUGUAGAAUGUUUACAGCAUCCCUGGCCUCUGCCCACUAGGUGUCAGUAGGAACCCUCCCUUCACCAAGUUGUGAUAACUAAAAAUGCCUCCAGGCAUUGCCACAUGUCCCCUGAGACACUGAUACACCAGCUUUCUUUCUGUAUAUAUGCUGCCUUUGUCAUGUUUUGAUAUUAAGAUCAUGCCAAUCUCAUUAUACCUAACAGAUAGCUUUCCAUGUCUUCCUACAUUUAGGAAUGAUUUAUAUAGCAUUUGAAUUUGUUGUUUCUUAAAAUCUUAAAUAAUUUUCUGAUAAAAUCAUCUGGCUCUAAAGCUUUUUAUUUUAUUUUAUUAUUAUUUUUUUUGCGGUACGCGGGCCUCUCACUGUUGUGGCCUCUCCCGUUGCGGAGCACAGGCUCUGGACGCGCAAGCUCAGCGGCCAUGGCUCACAGGCCCAGCCACUCUGCGGAAUGUGGGAUCUUCCCGGACCGGGGCAUGAAUCCGUGUCCCCUACAUUGGCAGGCGGACUCUCAACCACUGAGCCACCAGGGAAGCCCUAAAGCUUUUUAGAGAAAAAGUGUGGAACUUUCUGGAAUACUUAUGGGAACUCUGCUGAUAGAAGAAACAAUCUGAUACUGAACUCACAAGAAUUACUUCGCCUAGUAUGAUAUAUCAAAUUAGAAUAACAAUUUCUGGAAGUGUAUGCAAAAUUGCUUCCAUAUAAAAUUGAAACGUUUUACUAAUUUUAAUUAUUGCCUAUAGUAUUAAUAAUGCCCUUGUCAUUAAAACGUUAUUUGUUGAUGAACGAUACAUUCUGGAAUACUGCAUUUCAUAGGACACCUUUACCUGGUAUUGAACAUUCAAAGAGAGCGAUGAACUUGUUCUAUCAGACAUUGUCCACUAGUGUUCUUAACUUGCAACAGUUGUACAGCUUUGCGAUAGAGAAGCUACACUAGUUGAGGAUAGCUAACUGGCUCCAGGUCACUCUGCUAACAAUUAAAUUGGAGGACAAAGCUGACCUCAAGAGUUAUGUCAUGUAUAACCAUGGUCAACAUUUUGACAUAGAACCCAGGGAGGUUUCACCUGCAAACAAAUACAAAACCAUGGAUGGACUUUGCCACUUGCAAAGAGCUUCUAACAACAGUGUUAGUGUCCAGUUAAGUGCAUGGACAACAAGGGCAUGCAUUGGGUUGCAUCUGGUGUCCACAAAGCAAAGUGCAUUCUUAAACAUCACUGAGCAGAUGGGAGGGAGAACUAACAAACACUCUUUUCCAUUUAACGAGAGAAGUGUAUCUUGAAGAAUAUAAUGAACUUCCACUAGUGGAUUCAGGACUAGGACCCAGACUGUCCAUUCUCCUUCAACAUCUAGGGAAUUCUCCAGAGCCUAGGCUCCCUCUCAUAGUGGAGAGAACCACUGGGCUCUGGUCUAGAGGUUGGCAGUUUGUGGAGUUCCUCUGGCCCCAUCCCAGGCACCACGAUUGAAUGGCUAUUGGACCAAAGCUCCCCAGAAAGAAGCGACUGGGCUGGGCAACCCCAGGGAGAACCUUGUGACACAGAUCAGGAAAACUAAGCAAUUGAUUAUACAAUAACCACACCAUUUUGUGGGCAUUUUGAACCAGAGGUAAGACUUCGUCAAAAGUCAAAGACCCUCUAGUUCCACUGAGGUGUGGUGCAUUCCAUCUGCACCACCUUGCCCGGUAAAGAGCAAAACUCAAAGGCCUUUGUCUUGGUCUUCCUCUUUUCCACCUUCCUCCCACACCAAUGUUCUCACCUAACGCUGAUCUUUCUCUU